GGGGUAAGUGAUACGUCAUGGUAAAAGGCGGCGACAGAUUUUUGAACGUAUUUUCUGUUGAUUAGGUGUUUAUCAUCGCAGCAUGCCUCUCAUGCUGUGUCAUGCGUCUCGAUGAGGAAAACUCCUGGUUCCAGGUUCGAGUCCUGGCGGGCCCACCA
rnacentral:tRNA from 1 species